rnacentral:rRNA from 1 species
AAAUUGAAGAGUUUGAUCAUGGCUCAGAUUGAACGCUGGCGGCAGGCCUAACACAUGCAAGUCGAACGGUAACAGGAAGCAGCUUGCUGCUUCGCUGACGAGUGGCGGACGGGUGAGUAAUGUCUGGGAAACUGCCUGAUGGAGGGGGAUAACUACUGGAAACGGUGGCUAAUACCGCAUAACGUCGCAAGACCAAAGAGGGGGACCUUCGGGCCUCUUGCCAUCAGAUGUGCCCAGAUGGGAUUAGCUUGUUGGUGAGGUAACGGCUCACCAAGGCGACGAUCCCUAGCUGGUCUGAGAGGAUGACCAGCCACACUGGAACUGAGACACGGCCCAGACUCCUACGGGAGGCAGCAGUGGGGAAUAUUGCACAAUGGGCGCAAGCCUGAUGCAGCCAUGCCGCGUGUAUGAAGAAGGCCUUCGGGUUGUAAAGUACUUUCAGCGGGGAGGAAGGUGUUGUGGUUAAUAACCGCAGCAAUUGACGUUACCCGCAGAAGAAGCACCGGCUAACUCCGUGCCAGCAGCCGCGGUAAUACGGAGGGUGCAAGCGUUAAUCGGAAUUACUGGGCGUAAAGCGCACGCAGGCGGUCUGUCAAGUCGGAUGUGAAAUCCCCGGGCUCAACCUGGGAACUGCAUUCGAAACUGGCAGGCUUGAGUCUUGUAGAGGGGGGUAGAAUUCCAGGUGUAGCGGUGAAAUGCGUAGAGAUCUGGAGGAAUACCGGUGGCGAAGGCGGCCCCCUGGACAAAGACUGACGCUCAGGUGCGAAAGCGUGGGGAGCAAACAGGAUUAGAUACCCUGGUAGUCCACGCCGUAAACGAUGUCUACUUGGAGGUUGUGCCCUUGAGGCGUGGCUUCCGGAGCUAACGCGUUAAGUAGACCGCCUGGGGAGUACGGCCGCAAGGUUAAAACUCAAAUGAAUUGACGGGGGCCCGCACAAGCGGUGGAGCAUGUGGUUUAAUUCGAUGCAACGCGAAGAACCUUACCUGGUCUUGACAUCCACAGAAGAAUCCAGAGAUGGAUUUGUGCCUUCGGGAACUGUGAGACAGGUGCUGCAUGGCUGUCGUCAGCUCGUGUUGUGAAAUGUUGGGUUAAGUCCCGCAACGAGCGCAACCCUUAUCCUUUGUUGCCAGCGGUUAGGCCGGGAACUCAAAGGAGACUGCCAGUGAUAAACUGGAGGAAGGUGGGGAUGACGUCAAGUCAUCAUGGCCCUUACGACCAGGGCUACACACGUGCUACAAUGGCGCAUACAAAGAGAAGCGACCUCGCGAGAGCAAGCGGACCUCAUAAAGUGCGUCGUAGUCCGGAUUGGAGUCUGCAACUCGACUCCAUGAAGUCGGAAUCGCUAGUAAUCGUGGAUCAGAAUGCCACGGUGAAUACGUUCCCGGGCCUUGUACACACCGCCCGUCACACCAUGGGAGUGGGUUGCAAAAGAAGUAGGUAGCUUAACCUUCGGGAGGGCGCUUACCACUUUGUGAUUCAUGACUGGGGUGAAGUCGUAACAAGGUAACCGUAGGGGAACCUGCGGUUGGAUCACCUCCUUACCUUAAAGAA